CUAUUAGCUGCCACCGAUUGUUGUUUCUGUGUCUUUUAAUUUUGUCUGUCUGUUCAGCACCUCUGUCUCCUGCAUCUGAUUCCGCCUCUACGCCAGUCCAAAUCAGACGUGACAAAUUUGUAAAAAUCUCAGAAAAUAUAUUUCCAAUUUGACAUUAUGUGGUAGGCCAGUGACAAAAAAAAAUCUAAAUGUAAUUUCUUUUAAAUUCAGUCUGUAACACAACAAAAUGUGGAAAAAGUCAAGGGGUGUGAAUACUUUUUGAAAGCACUGUAAGGCAUUUAUUUGAAGUCCUAGUUACACCCUAACACAGUGGUCUGAAACUCCUGGUUUAGAGGCCACAGCAAGCCACUUUAUCAAAGUGAUGUGUAAUUCCUAUUGGAAUCCAGCCAGAAUGAGGAUAUCCAACAACUGUAACUUUUAAUCAACACCACUUCCGUAAAAACGUAAGAAGCUUCUUAAGGAAAAAAAAAUAAGUUCAUAAGAUAGUUCUUAAGUGCAAUUCCUCAAAAUGUUCUUAGGAAUUCAUAGUUGUCUUAGGAACUUCGUAAAUAUCUUUCUUAAGAACUUCGUAAAUAUCUUCUUAUGUGGCAUUGACAUUAGUGAUGUGCUUGAAACCAAUAAAUGAGCCUGUGUGACAGGGAUGAUAGGAUUUGGGCCACUAUAAUAAAGUAUCGAUAUUUCCAUUUUAUUACAUUUAUUUGUCUGCUUUAUGUCUCGAGAAUAAAACAUUUUUUGUUGGUUCGCGAACCCUUUAUACACACAUAAAAAACUUUUUUCACACAUCUUAGCCAUCAGACUAGCUAUAUCAAAAACAAAAUGGAUAAAUAAGUAAAGCGCAAUAAAAACUUCAGCAGCCAACAGCUUGAAGUGAUGGUGGAGGAAAUAGCAGCCAGGAAAAGGUUGCUAUUGGGGAGGAUGGGCGAGAAUGGCCAAGUCUGUCUUUGAAGGGACAGUGACACCAUAAAAAAAUAAGUGUUCCGACAUCAAGUCAGCUGCUAAGAAGAAAGGACCUGAGAGAAGCAGAGAGUUAAAGAAGACUGGAGGGGGGGUAUCGACCAUUCAUGUGGACCAGCUGUAGGAGAAGGGUUUGAUAGGAGAGAACGCGGUAGAGGGACUGUGGACUCAGACUGCGCGACCAAAAUAACACUGGACCUCAUCCAUAUGCCCCUGUGCCCAGAUGUGGGAGCCAUGGAUCAUCAUGAUCAUAUGACAGAAGAACAAGCAGAGAUAUCACUUGAAGACACAGAAGAGAUGCGCCUGUCUUGGAUCCUUAUCCAUCAUGACACCUUAAUGUACAAGCCAGUACCACCCCGGGCAAGAAGGCUUGGUGGUGUGGAGGAGAUGGUGGCUGUCCAGAGGAUGCUCCUGGGGUAGGUCACAGCCCUGCGUAGGGUGCAGGAGGAGCUGCUAAAGGUGGAAGGCGAGAGAUUAGCCCUGGAGAAGGAGAAGCUAGCCCUGGAGAAGAAGUUUGCCAUGGAGAAGCGAAGAAGACUUGAAGAUUAAUAUCCUAAAAUAACUCUGUUUCGAUAUCAUACAAACCUUUUUGUCAUGUGAAUCACCUCCUUAUGAGGUAAUUUCUUGUUUGUAGGCCAUCACUGCAUAUACCAGUGGCAUUGUGGUCAGCGGCAUCAUCCUGAUCAGGUACAGCUGUUGGAAUGUCAGGUGUAUUGGGAUGUGGCAUCCUGUUUUGUAUGCAGAUGUAGUGCUCAAUACAUGCUGAGGUUAUGAUCUUGCAUGUUUUUUCUGGUCUGUAUGAAAUAACACCCCCAGAGCAGUCAAUGCAUCUGUAUCUGGAUUUUAGGAAUCCGAUAGAUUUACAUUUACAUUUUAGUAAUUUAGCACACACUCUUAUCCAGAGCGACUUACAGUACUGAAUGCAUACAUUUCAUACAUUUCAUGGAUUUUUAUUUUUAUUUUUUUUGUACUUUUUAUUUUUUUUGUACCCACAACCCUGGCGUUGCACACACCAUGCUGGCAUUGCAAACACCAUGCUCUACCAACUGAGCCACAGGGAAGAUCUCUCUACUAAUCUCCUCAUUUUCAUCUGAGUUGGUUGUAGAUCUCUUCUGCAUCGUUGUUAGUGUGUAGGAUUGGUGUCAUGAGCCACGUUUUUUGUCCAUAGCCACUAUCUUCCUGUCCAGGUUGGCGCCCCCCCCUUGGGUUCGUGCCGUGGGGGAGAUCUUCGUGGGCUAUACCUGGCCUUGUCUCAGGAUAGUAAGUUGGUAGUUGAAGGUAUCCCUCUAGUGGUGUGGGGGCUGUGCUUUGG